UGGGUCGGCAAGACGGUCGCGUCAUUCGGUGCUUUUCGGAGCAGCGGAUGCCGAGGAACGUCCGGGCUCCACAGAGCAGGGCGGUGGGUAACACCCACCCGGGGCAACCCGCGAGACAGUGCCACAGAAAGUAAACCGCCACCGGCCUCGGCUGGGGGUAAGGGUGAAACGGUGGUGUAAGAGACCACCAGAGGCCAGGGUGACCUGGUCGGCUCGGUAAACCUCGUCCGGAGCAAGGUCGAACAGGAAACGCUAAGGCUGCUCGCCGAGUUUCCGGGUAGACCGCUAGAGGGCUGCGGCAACGCAGUCCCAAGAUAGAUGGCCGUCCAGGGUGCUUUGGCACCGGGACAGAACCCGGCGUACCAGCCGGCCCAUUCC
rnacentral:RNase_P_RNA from 2 species